GCGGGCGUCGGCAUGGCGGAGAGCGAGGCCGAGACCCCCAGCACCCCGGGGGAGUUUGAGAGCAAGUACUUCGAGUUCCAUGGCGUGCGGCUGCCGCCCUUCUGCCGCGGGAAGAUGGAGGAGAUCGCCAACUUCCCGGUGCGGCCCAGCGACGUGUGGAUCGUCACCUACCCCAAGUCCGGUACAAGCCUGCUGCAGGAGGUGGUCUACCUGGUGAGUCAGGGGGCUGACCCCGACGAGAUCGGCCUUAUGAACAUCGACGAGCAGCUUCCAGUCUUGGAGUAUCCGCAGCCAGGCCUGGACAUCAUCAAGGAGUUGACAUCCCCCCGCCUCAUCAAGAGCCACCUGCCCUACCGCUUCCUGCCCUCCGACCUCCACAACGGGGACUCCAAGGUCAUCUACAUGGCGCGUAACCCCAAGGACCUGGUGGUGUCCUACUACCAGUUCCAUCGCUCGCUGCGGACCAUGAGCUACCGUGGCACCUUCCAGGAGUUCUGCCGGCGAUUCAUGAACGACAAACUGGGCUACGGCUCCUGGUUCGAGCACGUGCAGGAGUUCUGGGAACACCGGAUGGACGGGAACGUGCUGUUCCUCAAAUACGAAGACAUGCACCGGGACCUGGUGACGAUGGUGGAGCAACUGGCCAGGUUCCUGGGGGUGGCCUGUGACAAGGCCCAGCUGGAGUCCCUCACGGAGCACUGCCACCAGCUGGUAGACCAGUGCUGCAAUGCCGAGGCACUGCCUGUGGGCCGGGCCCAUUGCCUCUUUGCCCAGAAGACUUCCCCGAGGCGGUGAGCGCAGGGCUCCAGGAGCCGGCCACACCGCUCACACUGGGUUCAGGUCACAGCAUAAAUUGUCUUGCUUGCAAACCCCGAACCAGGGCGAGUUGGGCUGUGGAAAGACAUCUUCACCGUCUCCAUGAACGAGAAGUUCGACCUUGUGUACAAACAGAAGAUGGGCAAGUGCGACCUCAGCUUUGACUUCUAUCUGUAAGCGCAGAACGGCCCGCCUGCAUGCUCACAGCCCCCAGCCCCGUGUGUAUCCAUCUCUCCCUGGCUGGACGGACCCUGGAAGCGGCGUGUGGAAGAGCGGGGCAGGAUGCGCAGCGGCCCCCGGCCUGAGUCUCAGGUCUGCGCAGGCCUGGCAGCGCACGGUGUGACAUGGCACUGUGGAUAUGUUGCGAGCACGGCGUCUUGACAGACACGCCCAGGGCAGCCUCCUCUUACAGCCCCGAGUGAUGCGUUGUAUUUCACAAAGCUUUUCACUGGAAAUGCACAAUGUCAGCAAACCAAAUAAACGUCCAGUUCUGAGGGAGAGCAAGAGCGAGUCCCGCCGGACCGUGGAGUGAGCUCAGAGCCCGCUCUCCACUUCCGUGGCCUCAUUGCUGCAGUGAGGCUUGGCCUUUCCGCCUUGGCAGGGCCC